rnacentral:misc_RNA from 1 species
AUGUUUUUAAGCUAUUUUGUAAUGUAAAUCCACUGUUCAAAACGGUUAUUGCAAUUUACUGAUAAUUUAGAAACUGUAAAAUUAAACAUAGGUUUAAAUGCACGUUAUUAAUGUGAUACGAGCAGACGAGUUUUAAUCAAUGAGACAUUGCAGUUACAGAAAUAGACCCAUACUUACCAUUGACAUUGUAGGACGAUAUGAAACAGCAUGGCGACAUUCACAUUUAUACAGAUGGUUUUGGUAACAGGAAUGCUUGUUACUGGCAGCAUCAACACAUUGUGCAAAAAGGCGCAAAAUGAUUGUGUGGUGAAAGGCUACAAAUCUAAAGCACACAGUUUUAACCAUCCUUGGUUUCAAACAUGGAUGCUAUGUAUAGCACAGACGCUUUGUUUGAUGGGAUUGCCUAUACAAAGAAGGAGGGAGUUGCAAGAAUAUAGAAAAGAAAUUACCCAGAAUGAAGUCCAGGAUGUGCAGCCUAAAAUAGAAAUAGGACCUCCAGUUCAUGCAAGGCUGUGUCAGUGGAUUUGUAUCGUACCAUCUUGUACCUGCAUACUGUCGGUAUCUCUUGCUGGUAUCGGCUUACUCUUUAUUGAUGCUUCCAUCAUGUCGAUGCUCAGAGGAUCUGUUAUCGUGUUUGCAGGCAUUUUUUCCAAAAUGUUUUUGAAGAGGAAAUUGAAACUGACACAUUGGCUAGGCAUGGCUAUUGUUAUAGUUGGUUUGGUAUUGGCUGGUUGUACAAGUGUGUUUAAAAGUCAAGAUCAUAAAACAAUUGGUGGGAAGACUAUUACAGGAAUAAUACUAGUCAUUAUUGCUCAAGUCAUUACUGGAGCUCAGGUCAUUUUAGAGGAGGCAGUUGUCAAGAAGAGGAACUUGCAUCCAUUGCAUGUUGUUGGACUGAAGGGCAUAUAUGGAUUUUCAUUAAUGUCUUUUAUAGUGUUACCUGUUCUGUAUUUCAUACCUGGUGAUAACGAACAUGGUAGUUACGAAAACAGUGUUGAUGCACUGUACCAGAUCUCAAACAGUGUCCGACUUUUCAUGUUGUGUCUUUUAUAUAUUGCAUCAGUAGCAUUAUACAACUACUUUUCAAUGGCUGUAAUUAAGUCACUAACUGCUGUCAUAUGUGUGAGAACUGAAGUAACAAAGGAUGUGUAAUUAACAUUUUUUAUUUUUGUUAUUAAUUUGUUCAUACUAUCAAUGUUUUAAAUUCAACUCAACUCAAACUCAAAUAGUUUAUUGCGUUAAACAUACAAUUAUAUGCUUAUAGCAAAAACAUAUAUAUAUAAGCUGAAGAUACUUGUAGUGGUACAGUAGUUCAGCAAUUCAGCAAAACAAAUUUCUUAGCAAUGUCAGCUGAAAUAUUAUUGUCAAAAUAUACAUCGGAAGUCAAUUUUGCUGUUAAUGUAUUGUUUUCUAACUAUAUAAAGCUGUACACAGAACGCUGAUAGAUGCUUGUAGGACAAUUUUGGUAUGGGGAGUUGGUCUAAUCAUCUACUAUUGUUUCAGUAAGAACUUUGGGGAGCCUUUUGACAAAGCGUACGGGAUUAUUCAAAUUGAUGGUUUCUUAUUUCUGAUG